AUGGCCCAAGGCCCACCUAAACCCUUCCUAACCCUAGCCCGAUCCCCUCGCAGCAUCUCUUCCUCUCGUUCCCGUGCCCGCCGCCACACCCGCACGCAGCCUCGAUCUCCAUCUCCCUCUCGUCUCCUCCCUCGCGCUCCUCCCUCCUCUCGCUCGCGCCCUCCUCCCGACCUCAACCUCCUUCCUCUCGCCCCCUCUCAGCCUCCCGCCGACGCCCCCUCGCCAUCACCACAGCACCUCGCCUCCCUCCUCGAGCCAGAGGAGGAGCCCCGCACCCGUUUCCCCAGCGCCGACCUCCUCCUCGCUCCCAUGGCGUCGCCGCCCGUCAAGCUCCACCGCCGGCGCCCCGAGCCCUCCGCUCCGCCGUGCCUCCUCCCCUCUGCAGGCCCCCUCUCAUGGCGCCGCCUUGCCUCCAUGGCCGUCGCGCCUCCCUCUGCAGCACCAGGCCGCGGCCACCUCUCCUCGCCAUGGCCCUCGCGAGCUUCCUCCUGCCGCCACUGGAGGCCAACUCCGGCGCCCCUGCCUCGCGUCGCCCUCUGCUUCCGUCGACGCCGCCUCUCCUCCUGCUUCUCCUCGUCGCCACCGACCGCGGCUCCGCCUCCCCUCUGUUCCCUCCUACCCGUGCUCCUCGUCCGGCCCCGCCGUCCAGCCGCGCCGCACCCUCAAGCGCCUCGCCUCGCUGCUGCCUCCCCGCCACCCCGCAGCAUCUCGUCUACCGCCGCCGUGGGUUUUCCAUCAAGUUCGGCUACAGCACAAGGAUAUGUACAACUACGCGUAGUCGCCGAGUACGAUUACUCACGGGACCCGUCAAGUUCAUCUACGUGCGUGCACGACUACACAUCCGGGAUGCGUCCAGUACCUCUACGGAAGACACGAACGUCUAUGAACCGUGUACGAUGA
rnacentral:rRNA from 1 species